rnacentral:rRNA from 1 species
UACGUAGGGUGCAAGCGUUGUCCGGAAUUAUUGGGCGUAAAGAGCUCGUAGGCGGUUUGUCGCGUCUGCUGUGAAAACUCGGGGCUUAACCCCGGGCCUGCAGUGGGUACGGGCAGACUAGAGUGCGGUAGGGGAGACUGGAAUUCCUGGUGUAGCGGUGAAAUGCGCAGAUAUCAGGAGGAACACCGGUGGCGAAGGCGGCAUUCUGGACUGCAACUGACACUGAAAGACGAAAGCCAGGGGAGCAAACGGG